AAAGAGAGCUUGAUUGCAAGACAUACAGGUCGAGCAAGGAUGAAAAUCGGACUUAGUGAUCCGGUGGUUCUGCGUGGAAGGGCCAUCGCUCAACGGAUAAAAGCUACCCUGGGGAUAACAGGCUUAUCUCCCCCAAGAGUCCACAUCGACGGGGAGGUUUGGCACCUCGAUGUCGGCUCAUCACAUCCUGGGGCUGUAGUAGGUCCCAAGGGUUGGGCUGUUCGCCUAUUAAAGUGGUACGCGAGCUGGGUUCAGAACGUCGUGAGACAGUUCGGUCCCUAUCCGUCGCAGGCGUAGGAAAUUUGAGAAGACCUGUCCUUAGUACGAGAGGACCGGGAUGGACGUACCUCUGGUGUACCAGUUGUUCUGCCAAGGGCAUGGCUGGGUAGCUAUGUACGGAAUGGAUAAGCGCUGAAAGCAUCUAAGCGCGAAGCCAACUUCAAGAUAAGAUUUCCCACCGCAAGGGUAAGACCCCAGAAAGACUAUCUGGUUGAUAGGUCGAAGGUGUAAGUGCAGCAAUGUAUUUAGCUUAUCGAUACUAAUAGGUCGAGGACUUGACCAAUAUUUAUUUGAUGUUCAUUCAUUAAGAUAUAUGUGUAGUUUUUAGAGUGUUAACUUUUAAAAAUUAGUUUUACUAAUUUACAAUAAAAUAGGUGUGCUGGUGUGGCUCAACGGUAGAGCAGCUGACUUGUAAUCAGCAGGUUGUAGGUUCGAUUCCUAUCACCAGCUCCAGUAAAGACUAUGUUUUUAGCAUAGUCUUUUUUUAUUGUUUUUUAUUGUUUGAUGUAUUUGUUAUUUUGUAUUAAAUACUUUUAGUGGUCUAAUUUAUAAAUUAUAGGUAUAAAAGAUGACACAGUUUAAAAUUAUUGUUUUAAACUGUGUCUGUGAGUUUUAAAUCAAUCUACCAUGAAUCACCAUUCUGGCAUCAUCAAAUUCAUAUGUACAUGUAGAAAGUGUAACUAUUUUAUCAUUGCUAUUUACCUUAAUAGGAGAUUUAUACAAUGAUUUAGAAGUAAUAUCAUUUAUGUAAUUUUGAUAAUCAGAUUCAUUGUUAAAAUUUGUUUUUAGAUAAUCAUAAUCAGAUUCUACAAUAUAAGCAGAAAAAACAUCAUAUAAAAAUUCUUUUCCAUUCAAGGUUAUUUUUAUUUUAUUAUUUUUUUUAAAGAAGUCAGCAUCUUUAAACUUAUUUAGGUUGUUGAACAUAGUUUUAUUUUUCAUAUUAUGUCCAUAUAUUAUGAUAUUUUUGUCAUCAAUAGAUUUAUUUCUAUAAUCCAUAAACAGUGUACCAGAAAUAGAAUCUUUUUUAUAAAAAUCUUUGUCAAGAUAGUAAGAAUUAUCUUUAGAUUGUACAACUGGAUAAUUUAUAUUUGUAUUCUCAACAGAAAGCCAAAAUUUAAAAUCACUGUUAAUCUUUGAUAAAUCCUCUUUUUUAUAUUCUUUUUUUUGAAGUUCUGAGGAUAUUUUAGUAUCAUGAUUGUAUUUGGUAAGUUUUGAGUAUAUAUUAAAUCCACUGUAAAGUAUUACUAAUACUAGUAUAAUGUUAAUUACUAUUCUAUAUAAUUUUUUCAAUAUAUCACCUCGAGUUAAAUGUAGUUUAUAUAUCUAUAUUACACUAUUUUUGAAUAAAUUUAAAUUUUUAGUAUAAUAUUACUUUGACAUGUAAAAGAAUUUGUGUUAACAUAACUAAGUAAAAUAAAUAUUAAGUAAGCCAGAUAAUCG
rnacentral:rRNA from 1 species